rnacentral:misc_RNA from 1 species
UGGUUCUGGCAUCGAUGAAGAACGCAGCGAAAUGCGAUAAGUAAUGUGAAUUGCAGAAUUCAGUGAAUCAUCGAAUCUUUGAACGCACAUUGCGCCCUCUGGUAUUCCGGGGGGCAUGCCUGUUCGAGCGUCAUUACAACUCUCAAGCCUUGCUUGGUGUUGGGUGUCACGUGUGUGCACCUUAAAAGUAGUGGCAAUGUCGUGCUGCUUCAAGCGUAGUAAAUUUCCGCUCUGGAGUUUGGUACGGACGUUGCCAAUUAAAUAAACAUUAACAUCAAAGGUUGACCUCGGAUCAGGUAGGGAUACCCGCUGA